rnacentral:rRNA from 1 species
CCUACGGGUGGCAGCAGUGAGGAAUAUUGGUCAAUGGACGCAAGUCUGAACCAGCCAUGCCGCGUGCAGGAAGACGGCUCUAUGAGUUGUAAACUGCUUUUGUACGAGGGUAAACGCAGAUACGCGUAUCUGUCUGAGAGUAUCGUACGAAUAAGGAUCGGCUAACUCCGUGCCAGCAGCCGCGGUAAUACGGAGGAUUCAAGCGUUAUCCGGAUUUAUUGGGUUUAAAGGGUGCGUAGGCGGGCGGAUAAGUUAGAGGUGAAAUCCCGAGGCUCAACUUCGGAAGUGCCUCUGAUACUGGUCGUCUAGAGAGUAGUUGCGGUAGGCGGAAUGUAUGGUGUAGCGGUGAAAUGCUUAGAGAUCAUACAGAACACCGAUUGCGAAGGCAGCUUACCAGGCUACUUCUGACGUUGAGGCACGAAAGCGUGGGGAUCGAACAGGAUUAGAUACCCGAGUAGUC